CCCAGAGCCACAGGGCUCCUUUGGUGUAGAUGGGGGCCACACCUAUGCCAGGCCUCGGUCAGCCCUGGCCAGCCCCUCUUAGCCAACGAGAGCAGCUAGAAGGGUGGCGGCCAGGCGGAUCAGCGGUGUCAUUGAAGGCCGGGGACAGCAGGGGGCAAGCGAGAGUCAGUUUCGCGAGCUCAGCUCGGGACUGGGGCUGGCCAGAGCUUUGGAAAGUCAGCACAAAGUCCCGGGGACCAGGGCGGGGAAGUUGGGCCACCGGCCGAGGGGCGGGGGCCCUUGGGAGGCGGAACUGGGGGGGGGAAUCUGCUUGGCCCCGCCCGGGCGCCUCUACAGCCUCUGGGCCAGAUGCGUGCAGCUGGCUGCACUGGGCACCCUGGCGCGCCUGGGCGCAUGGCCACUCCAUCUCCAAGGCACUGGACGCUUUUGAGGGGCAGGCUCUGGGGCGGGAGUGGGGGGGCGUCCAGGGGGCACCCCUUCCCCGCGCGGGGUCUCACUGUGCUACUACCAAAAGAGCCUCCAUCUAGAUCAGUGCUGCACGCAUGGAAAAGGUCCAUGAGGAAAACAAGACAGGCUUAUGGUGAAUUUCCAGUUACUUCAG
ensembl:lncRNA